rnacentral:rRNA from 1 species
UAGGGAAUCUUCGGCAAUGGGGGGAACCCUGACCGAGCAACGCCGCGUGAGUGAAGAAGGUGUUCGGAUCGUAAAGCUCUGUUGUUAAGGAAGAACGAGUGUGAGAAUGGAAAGUUCAUGCUGUGACGGUACUUAACCAGAAAGGGACGGCUAACUACGUGCCAGCAGCCGCGGUAAUACGUAGGUCCCGAGCGUUGUCCGGAUUUAUUGGGCGUAAAGCGAGCGCAGGCGGUUAGAAAAGUCUGAAGUGAAAGGCAGUGGCUCAACCAUUGUAGGCUUUGGAAACUGUUUAACUUGAGUGCAGAAGGGGAGAGUGGAAUUCCAUGUGUAGCGGUGAAAUGCGUAGAUAUAUGGAGGAACACCGGUGGCGAAAGCGGCUCUCUGGUCUGUAACUGACGCUGAGGCUCGAAAGCGUGGGGAGCGAACAGG